rnacentral:rRNA from 1 species
ACAGAGGGCUCAAGCGUUAAUCGGAAUCACUGGGCUUAAAGGGUCCGCAGGCGGAUUGGAAAGUAUCUUGUGAAAUACCACGGCUCAACCGUGGAACUGCUCGGUAAACUUCCAAUCUUGAACACGGUAGGGGCCAUCGGAACUCUAGGUGGAGCGGUGAAAUGCGUAGAUAUCUAGAGGAACGCCAGAGGCGAAGGCGGAUGGCUGGGCCGUUGUCGUCAGGACGGAAGACAUGGGUAGCGAACGGGAUUAGAUACCCGCGUAGUCC